AAAAAAACUAUAUUGUAAAAAUCCAUAUCAAAAUGAAGUUCUGUCUAUCAAUUGGAAUGCUUCUAUUGGCACUUAUAAACAUGUCACAGUCACAAGCUCCACCUGUAUACUCCAAUCCACCCCAUGGUCAAGACAAUAAAUGGUGCCGCUUAGAUUUGGGUUUUGGUUGGGGUGGCAGAUGCUAAAUCCGAGAAAAAUAUUUAAAUUGAAAUAUUAAAAAAAAAAUCUUGAUUUUGAU